UACGUAGGGUGCAAGCGUUUGUCCGGAAUUAUUGGGCGUAAAGAGCUCGUAGGCGGUCUGUCGCGUCGAAUGUGAAAAUCCGGGGCUCAACCCCGGACCUGCAUUCGAUACGGGCAGACUAGAGUUCGGUAGGGGAGUCUGGAAUUCCUGGUGUAGCGGUGAAAUGCGCAGAUAUCAGGAGGAACACCGGUGGCGAAGGCGGGACUCUGGGCCGAUACUGACGCUGAGGAGCGAAAGCGUGGGGAGCAAACAGG
rnacentral:rRNA from 1 species